GACCUCCGCAAUGCGAGCAAUCGCGACGGGGGGACCCCAAGUGCUACUUUAACGGGGUGGCUUUUCUUAAGUGCUUUUGGAUAAGGGCUGGCAAGACCGGUGCCAGCCGCCGCGGUAACACCGGCAGCUCAAGUGGUGGCCGUCUUUAUUGGGCCUAAAGCGUUCGUAGCCGGCCUGAUAAGUCUCUGGUGAAAUCCCAUAGCUUAACUGUGGGAAUGCUGGAGAUACUAUCAGGCUUGAGGUCGGGAGAGGUUAGGGGUACUCCCAGGGUAGGGGUGAAAUCCUAUAAUCCUGGGGGGACCACCUGUGGCGAAGGCGCCUAACUGGAACGACCUGACGGUGAGUAACGAAAGCCGGGGGCGCGAACCGGAUUAGAUACCCGGGUAGUCCUGGCCGUAAACGAUGUGGACUUGGUGUUGGACAGUGCC
rnacentral:rRNA from 1 species